ensembl:miRNA Gm28003 predicted gene, 28003
UGUGAGCCUCUGUGUGGGUGCUAGGAAUUGAACCCAGGUCCCCUGGAAGAGGAGCAAGUGCUCUUAAC